rnacentral:misc_RNA from 1 species
AUGAGAACAUGCCCUUCGGGGUAGAUCUCCCACCCUUUGUUUAUUAUACCUUUGUUGCUUUGGCAGGCCCGUCCUCGGACCGCUGGCUUCGGCUGGUUAGCGCCUGCCAAAGGACCCCAAACUCUGAAUGUUAGUGUCGUCUGAGUACUAUACAAUAGUUA